CAUGAAGUCGGAAAUCGCUAGUAAAUCGCGGAUCAGCAUGCCGCGGUGAAUACGUUCUCAGGGCCUUGUACACACACGCCCGUCACACCAUGGGAGUUGGUUUUGCCUGAAGACGGUGUGCUAACCGCAAGGAGGCAGCCGGCCACGGUAGGGUCAGCGACUGGGGUGAAGUCGUAACAAGGUAGCCGUAGGGGAACCUGCGGCUGGAUCACCUCCUUUCUAAGGAAGAUGUUGAGUAUCAUUGAAUUUAUUGAGUGAUCUGAACGUUUUUUGAAGAUUAAAGCUUUUAAUUAAGCUUGAUAUAAAUUUGCUGUUGUGAAGCAGCGUUUUUAAAAGGAUCGCCGUCCAUGUUUCUCUUUCUUUUCGGAUUUUUAGGGAUGAUGGGGGGUCGUUAAUAUUUGGUUUUGAGGGCCCGUAGCUCAGGUGGUUAGAGUGCACCCCUGAUAAGGGUGAGGUCGGUAGUUCAAAUCUACCUGGGCCCACCACUUUUUUGUUCAGGGGGCCGUAGCUCAGUCGGUAGAGCGCCUGCUUUGCAAGCAGGAUGCCAGCGGUUCGAUUCCGCUCGGCUCCACCAUUGGCGUAAUUAUGGAAUUUUGUUCUGAUUUUUUGGAGCAAGAGUUUUUUGAAAAUUGAAUAGAAGAUAUAUUUUUUUGUAUUCUUUAUGUUGGCAUUGUAUGCGACAUAUAAGAUACCGGCGUUGUUAACCGCACGUUGAGAAUUUA
rnacentral:misc_RNA from 1 species